rnacentral:rRNA from 1 species
GACCCCUGAAAGACGAUCAGGUUGAUAGGUUCGAGGUGGAAGCGCGGCAACGUGUGCAGCUGACGAAUACUAAUCGGUCGAGGGCUUAUCCU